rnacentral:rRNA from 1 species
AACGAACGCUGGCGGCGCGCCUAACACAUGCAAGUCGAACGAGAAUCCGGGGCGACCCGGUAGUAAAGUGGCAAACGGGUGAGGAAUACAUGGGUAACCUACCCUUGAGAAGGGAAUAACCCGCCGAAAGGUGAGCUAAUACCCUAUACGCUAUCUUUUUUUCGAAAGGAUAGGAAAGCCGGGUCGAGGACCUGGUACUCAAGGAGGGGCUCAUGUCCUAUCAGCUUGUUGGUGGGGUAACGGCCUACCAAGGCUACGACGGGUAGCUGGUCUGAGAGGAUGAUCAGCCACACUGGCACUGAGAGACGGGCCAGACUCCUACGGGAGGCAGCAGUGAGGAAUAUUGCGCAAUGGGCGAAAGCCUGACGCAGCGACGCCGCGUGGGGGAUGAAGGUUUUCGGAUUGUAAACCUCUUUUGGCAGGAACAAACCUGCGCUAUACGCGCAGCUGAGGGUACCUGCAGAAUAAGCACCGGCUAACUCCGUGCCAGCAGCCGCGGUAAUGUAGUCG